rnacentral:rRNA from 1 species
AAGACCUUGCACUUUUGGAGCGGCCGAUGUCUGAUUAGCUAGUUGGUGGGGUAAUGGCCUACCAAAGCUUCGAUCAGUAGCUGGUCUGAGAGGACGGCCAGCCACACUGGGACUGAGACACGGCCCAGACUCCUACGGGAGGCAGCAGUGGGGAAUUUUGGACAAUGGGCGCAAGCCUGAUCCAGCCAUGCCGCGUGAGUGAAGAAGGCCUUCGGGUUGUAAAGCUCUUUCAGUCGGGAAGAAAAGGUUGCGACUAAUAAUUGCAAUUCAUGACGGUACCGGAAGAAGAAGCACCGGCUAACUACGUGCCAGCAGCCGCGGUAAUACGUAGGGUGCGAGCGUUAAUCGGAAUUACUGGGCGUAAAGGGUGCGCAGGCGGUUUUGUAAGUCAGAUGUGAAAUCCCCGGGCUUAACCUGGGAACU